ensembl:rRNA n-R5s95 nuclear encoded rRNA 5S 95
GUCUAUAGCCAUACCAUCCUGAACACACCUGAUUUCAUCGUAUCUUGGAAGCUAAGCAGGGUUGGGCCUGGCUAGUACUUGAAUGGGAGACCCCUAUGAACACUUGGUUCUGGGGAAG